rnacentral:misc_RNA from 1 species
AACGCACCUUGCGCUCCUUGGCAUUCCGAGGAGCAUGCCUGUUUGAGUGUCAUGUUAACUCUCAACCCGGAUUGUGGGACGCUGCCGGGGCUCGUCUUCGGCUCGUCUUUGAACUUCUGGUUGGACUAUGGAUGCUGCGGGAGCCUGCCUUCCGCUCGUCUCAAAUGCAUUAGCGGGGUGUUAGACCCACCGCUGGCGUUUAGUAAUGCUUGCGCCGUGCGAGAGGGUCCUUCCUUGCUCACGAGCGGGACGCUUCGGCGUCGACUCUUGACUUCUGGCCUCAGAUCAGGUAGGAUUACCCGCCGAACUUAA